rnacentral:lncRNA from 1 species
AAAUUCUAUUAACACCAAGGCUGCUGAAGAAUGCGUGGUGAAAUUAACAGGCGUGGCGAAAAUCAUAAAUGGAACCUUUCCAUUUAUUGAAUUUGAAAAGUACAAAGUGGCUGAUGAAAGGAUUAAAAGUUGCUAUGCGGAUGUUACUGAAUGUUUAGUUUCCUACAAAGUUGUCAAAAAUCCUUUAGAACUCGCCAUUAAACUACUCCUUCAAUCUAUGGACAUGGUUGCUAUCGUCAUUGCCCAUUCAAAAAAAGAGUAAAGGACCGACCUACUCAUUAUUUUUUCAACAUAUGGAUGGAUCCAGAGAGAAACAUUCUAUCAUCUAUGAAGUUUUGUGCAGAUAGAAAAUUUUCAUAUUUAUUAUAUUUUAUACAUAUAUGUAUGUUGAUGUACACAUGAGGUUCUUGGAGAAUCAAAUAUCAAAAGAAUGGGAUAUUAUUUUGACCUAUGCCAAUUUUUUAAAUCAUUUUAAGUUCAACAAGAUAAUUAAAACCUUCAGUGUCUUAUACUAUUGCACCUCCAACGAAAACUAUUUGAUGAGAAUUUCAUUCCAUCUAUCACAACUGCCUUCCAUUCCAUCGAUGAUCGACAAUGACAUUCAAAAUCCUUGAUAUCUAGGGUUUAAUUCCCUUCAUUUUUAACAGAAUUCCCAAAAUUUAGUCGUAUUUUUUUGUAAAUUUAUAACGAAAUUUCUACAAAUCAGGCCUACUGUACGUUGAUUCGUAUUUUUGGAA